AGAGAGAGACAUGCGCGCAUAUCAAUAAGCGGAGGAAAAGAAACUAACAAGGAUUCCCUUAGUAACGGCGAGUGAAGCGGGAAGAGCUCAAAUUUGAAAUCUUCAAGGUUUUACCUUGACGAAUUGUAGUUUAAAGAAGUGUUUUCUGCUGAAGUUUUGGUAAAAGUUCUUUGGAAUAGGACAUCAUAGAGGGUGAGAAUCCCGUAUUUGACCAUUAUUUUCAGCUUUGUGAUACACUUUCAAAGAGUCGGAUUGUUUGGGAAUGCAGUCCAAAAUGGGUGGUAAAUUUCAUCUAAAGCUAAAUAUUGGCGAGAGACCGAUAGCGAACAAGUACCGUGAGGGAAAGAUGAAAAGAACUUUGAAAAGAGAGUUAAACAGUACGUGAAAUUGUCAAAAGGGAAGCGUUUGACACCAGUGUUGUUUUCUCGAAAAUCAACUAAAAAUGGCUCGAUUUUGUAUUGUUGAGACCUUAAAAGCUCACUGUACAUUUUUCGUGUCCUUUUUAAUGCACUUUUCAGUUUAACAAGUCAACAUCAGUUUCUUUUGUUGUAAAAGGGUCAUUGGAAGGUGGCUUUCUUUUCGGAGAAAGUGUUUAUAGCCUUUGGCCUCUGCAAUCGGAGAGACUGAGGUCUGCAGCGUAGACUCUUCGGGGUUAGAUACAUUUGUGCUAAGUUAUAGCUUUUUAUAGACAACUUGUUGACUAUAAUUAGUCUUGUAGCUUACUCGCUUAUGCUAUUUUACCUACGCUUAGGAUGUUGAAGUCAUCGUAUCGCGC
rnacentral:rRNA from 1 species